rnacentral:rRNA from 1 species
CCUACGGGGGGCAGCAGUGGGGAAUAUUGGACAAUGGGGGGAACCCUGAUCCAGCCAUGCCGCGUGUGUGAAGAAGGCCCUCGGGUUGUAAAGCACUUUCAGUGAGGAAGAACGCCUGGUGGUUAAUACCCAUCAGGAAAGACAUCACUCACAGAAGAAGCACCGGCUAACUCCGUGCCAGCAGCCGCGGUAAUACGGAGGGUGCGAGCGUUAAUCGGAAUUACUGGGCGUAAAGCGCGCGUAGGUGGCUUGAUAAGCCGGUUGUGAAAGCCCCGGGCUCAACCUGGGAACGGCAUCCGGAACUGUCAAGCUAGAGUGCAGGAGAGGAAGGUAGAAUUCCCGGUGUAGCGGUGAAAUGCGUAGAGGUCGGGAGGAAUACCAGUGGCGAAGGCGGCCUUCUGGACUGACACUGACACUGAGGUGCGAAAGCGUGGGUAGCAAACAGGAUUAGAUACCCGGGUAGUC